GUGUUGUAUGAAAAAAAAAAAUUGCUAGUAUUUUUCUUGAUAAGAAUGGAAGUCCUAGUGGUUUUUACAACAUAUAUGUGGUUAAAGCCUUGCUGCUUAUUCUUUGACACUUAAUUAUAUUUUUCU